UUUGUUUUAGCCAUAUAUUGUAAUUAAAAUAAACACAAAUAGACACAAACUGCUAUUUUAAAAAGCUAUUCAAAAUCAAAAAAAAUCUUUAGUUUGGAGAAAAGUCAUGAUACAAAUCAGUUAAAAAUUCUUUAACCAUUACUUUGUUUUCUAGGGUCUUGCUGCAUAUGAAUAAAUACACCAGGUCAUUCACUGAUAAAGCGAUGAAAAGUUGUUCAUUUUAUAGAAAACAAUGAAAGAUGCUACAUCUGUCAGAUGCAAGGAGUGAAGGAACAAUUGUUUUGAUGCCUCUGUAAAGACAAGGGCACAUGAAACAGUCCUGUGGAAAAGAGGCUGCUUGGAUAAGAACAGGACAUCAUCCUUGGCUAGGUACAAUGUGUUUAUCAUUUUCGG